rnacentral:rRNA from 1 species
CGGCGGACGGCUGAGUAACACGUAGGAACGUACCCCAAAGUGAGGCAUAAGCACCAGAAAUGGUGUCUAAUACCGCAUGUGCUCUAAGGAGUAAAGCUUUAUGCGCUUUGGGAACGGCCUGCGUCCGAUUAGCUUGUUGGUGAGGUAAUAGCUCACCAAGGCAACGAUCGGUAGCUGGUCUGAGAGGAUGAUCAACCAGACUGGGACUGAGAACGGCCCAG